rnacentral:tRNA from 1 species
CACUAAAUGUCUGAAAGUAAGUAAUGGUCUCUUAAACCAUAAAUAGUAGAAUAACUCCUACUUUUAGUG